GACGAACGCUGGCGGCGUGCUUAACACAUGCAAGUCGAACGGAAAGGCCCUGCUUUUGUGGGGUGCUCGAGUGGCGAACGGGUGAGUAACACGUGAGUAACCUGCCCUUGACUUUGGGAUAACUUCAGGAAACUGGGGCUAAUACCGGAUAGGAGCUCCUGCUGCAUGGUGGGGGUUGGAAAGUUUCGGCGGUUGGGGAUGGACUCGCGGCUUAUCAGCUUGUUGGUGGGGUAGUGGCUUACCAAGGGUUUGACGGGUAGCCGGCCUGAGAGGGUGACCGGCCACAAUGGGACUGCGAUACGGCCCAGACUCCUACGGGAGGCAGCAGUGGGGAAUAUUGCACAAUGGGCGGAAGCCUGAUGCAGCAACGCCGCGUGCGGGAUGACGGCCUUCGGGUUGUAAACCGCUUUAGCCUGUGACGAAGCGUGAGUGACGGUAAUGGGUAAAGAAGCACCGGCUAACUACGUG
rnacentral:rRNA from 1 species